AGUGAACGCUGGCGGUAGGCCUAACACAUGCAAGUCGAACGGCAGCACAGUAAGAGCUUGCUCUUACGGGUGGCGAGUGGCGGACGGGUGAGGAAUACAUCGGAAUCUACUUUUUCGUGGGGGAUAACGUAGGGAAACUUACGCUAAUACCGCAUACGACCUACGGGUGAAAGCAGGGGAUCUUCGGACCUUGCGCGAUUGAAUGAGCCGAUGUCGGAUUAGCUAGUUGGCGGGGUAAAGGCCCACCAAGGCGACGAUCCGUAGCUGGUCUGAGAGGAUGAUCAGCCACACUGGAACUGAGACACGGUCCAGACUCCUACGGGAGGCAGCAGUGGGGAAUAUUGGAGAAUGGGAGCAGGCCUGAUCCAGCCAUACCGCGUGAGUGAAGAAGGCCUUCGGGUUGUAAAGCCCUUUUGUUGGGAAAGAAAAGCAGCAGGUUAAUACCCCGCUGUUCUGACGGUACCCGAAGAAUAAGCACCGGCUAACUUCGUG
rnacentral:rRNA from 1 species